GGAGAGGUCAAGCUGGUGCCAACGUAGAAAAGGAAUCUUUUAAGAUAUUUUUCUUAUACUGGAGAGAUGGCCCAGUGGUUGGGAGCACUAACUUUUCUUCUAGACAUCCUGAGUUCAAUUCCNAGCAACCACAUGGUGGCUCACAACCAUCUGUUAAUGGGAUCUGAUGCUCUCUUCUGCUUCCUGCUGGUUCCUCCCUACUAUAGAUCCUAACAUUGUUUCAAGUCACUUCAAUUCUAUUACUCUUUUUCCCUCUCCCUUAAGACUUCUUUUCCCCUCUCAUAGUCCUCUUCCAUGGUUGCAGGGAGUGACCCAACUGGGGCAGUAAGGGAAUGAAGAAUGGACAGACACACAGGCAGAUACAAAAAAGCUGGAAUGAGGUAAUCUGGACUCUCUGACGGAGAAGCUACAGCCCUCCCCACCUCCCAGCAAAAAAAGGAAAAUAACCACUUUCCUCUUCUACAUCAAGGGAAAUAUGGCUCUUCUACAUUCCUCUCUGACCCUCCUACAAGACAUUUCUUAAAUCUUUUCACCUAUUGUCACAUUAAAAAUAAAUUAUAAAAAAUUAAUUAAUUAAUUAAUGACAAUCUGUCUAUAUAUUGCCUAUUUACUAUCAAUAAAUAAGUAAGUAAAUAAAUGUGACAAUUAAACAACAAA
rnacentral:lncRNA from 1 species